rnacentral:rRNA from 1 species
GACGAACGUUGGCGGCGUGCUUAACACAUGCAAGUCGAACGGAAAGGCCCUGCUUUUGUGGGGUGCUCGAGUGGCGAACGGGUGAGUAACACGUGAGUAACCUGCCCUUGACUUUGGGAUAACUUCAGGAAACUGGGGCUAAUACCGGAUAGGAGCUCCUGCUGCAUGGUGGGGGUUGGAAAGUUUCGGCGGUUGGGGAUGGACUCGCGGCUUAUCAGCUUGUUGGUGGGGUAGUGGCUUACCAAGGCUUUGACGGGUAGCCGGCCUGAGAGGGUGACCGGCCACAUUGGGACUGAGAUACGGCCCAGACUCCUACGGGAGGCAGCAGUGGGGAAUAUUGCACAAUGGGCGGAAGCCUGAUGCAGCAACGCCGCGUGCGGGAUGACGGCCUUCGGGUUGUAAACCGCUUUCGCCUGUGACGAAGCGUGAGUGACGGUAAUGGGUAAAGAAGCACCGGCUAACUACGUGCCAGCAGCCGCGGUGAUACGUAGGGUGCGAGCGUUGUCCGGAUUUAUUGGGCGUAAAGGGCUCGUAGGUGGUUGAUCGCGUCGGAAGUGUAAUCUUGGGGCUUAACCCUGAGCGUGCUUUCGAUACGGGUUGACUUGAGGAAGGUAGGGGAGAAUGGAAUUCCUGGUGGAGCGGUGGAAUGCGCAGAUAUCAGGAGGAACACCAGUGGCGAAGGCGGUUCUCUGGGCCUUUCCUGACGCUGAGGAGCGAAAGCGUGGGGAGCGAACAGGCUUAGAUACCCUGGUAGUCCACGCUGUAAACGGUGGGUACUAGGUGUGGGGUCCAUUCCACGGGUUCCGUGCCGUAGCUAACGCUUUAAGUACCCCGCCUGGGGAGUACGGCCGCAAGGCUAAAACUCAAAGGAAUUGACGGGGCCCCGCACAAGCGGCGGAGCAUGCGGAUUAAUUCGAUGCAACGCGUAGAACCUUACCUGGGUUUGACAUGGAUCGGGAGUGCUCAGAGAUGGGUGUGCCUCUUUUGGGGUCGGUUCACAGGUGGUGCAUGGCUGUCGUCAGCUCGUGUCGUGAGAUGUUGGGUUAAGUCCCGCAACGAGCGCAACCCUUGUUCACUGUUGCCAGCACGUUAUGGUGGGGACUCAGUGGAGACCGCCGGAGUCAACUCGGAGGAAGGUGGGGAUGACGUCAAGUCAUCAUGCCCCUUAUGUCCAGGGCUUCACGCAUGCUACAAUGGCUGGUACAGAGAGUGGCGAGCCUGUGAGGGUGAGCGAAUCUCGGAAAGCCGGUCUCAGUUCGGAUUGGGGUCUGCAACUCGACCUCAUGAAGUCGGAGUCGCUAGUAAUCGCAGAUCAGCAACGCUGCGGUGAAUACGUUCCCGGGGCU